rnacentral:rRNA from 1 species
UACAGAGGGUGCGAACGUUGCUCGGAAUUACUGGGCGUAAAGCGCAUGUAGGCGGAUCCAUAAGUCGGGCGUGAAAUCCCCAGGCUCAACCUGGGAACUGCGCUCGAAACUGUGGGUCUUGAGUGUCGGAGAGGAUGGCGGAAUUCCUGGUGUAGAGGUGAAAUUCGUAGAUAUCAGGAGGAACACCGGUGGCGAAGGCGGCCCCCUGGACCGGUACUGACGCUGAGGCGCGAAAGCGUGGGGAGCAAACGGG